rnacentral:lncRNA from 1 species
AUGUCUACAAAGCCUUUGUGUAUUUUGGGAGGCGAUGUUAAUGUGGCGAAGGACUACAAGUACCUAGGCAUCCACUUUAACAACAGAUGGAAGUGUAAGAACACUGAAGCUGUGAGGCAGUGGUGUCAAACAUAUGACCCAGACAUCAGAAACAACCCACAAAAAAAGCACCAGAUGGCAAACAGAGAUUUUGUGACCAGUCUGGUAGUCCAUCGGCUAUCAUCUGACGAUUUGGCCUCUGGGGGCAACAGCCAAAAAUCUCUGGAAGGUGAACAUCUUGCAUGCAGCUGUCAGUAUCCAGUGGGACUGAGUGCUGAGGAGAGGAUGCUAGAUAUUUUUGGCAAGGCUUUUCUCAGGAAUCAGAAAGCAAGAAUGGAAGAGCUAAAUAACAAUAUGUCCAUCAGUUCCAGGAGGGGUUUAUGGAACUGUGAAUAUUUGUGAAGUCUCCAUGAUAAUAGUUUGAUUUACCAGGUCAGAGAGCAGAACAUACAGAGAAUUUUGUCUAUAUUACAUUAUCUGCCACUGUUCAUUGCUUCUAUUUCAGGCUUUACAAAGAUAUACAAAUACAUUCUUAACACAUGAGACAUGCUGCCUUUGUCAUGGUUAUAUAUCUAUUAAAUUUUCUAUAAAUCAGACAGAAACAAAGCAAAUACCCCUGCUAAACCAGUGAAAAAAAA